rnacentral:rRNA from 1 species
GGGUUAGUCGGGACCUAAGCCGAGGCCGAGAGGCGUAGGCGAUGGAUAACAGGUUGAGAUUCCUGUACUGGUUUGAUCUGUUUGAACGAUGGAGGGACGCAGGAGGCUAGAGAUGCGUGCUGUUGGAUAUGCACGUCCAAGCAACAAGUCUGAUGAUGAGUCAAAUGCUUAUCGUCUUAAGGACAAGUUGUGACGGGGAGCGAAAUUAAAGUAGCGAAGUGAUCGAUGUCACACUGCCGAGAAAAGCUUCUAGUUAGAAUCAGACCACCCGUACCGCAAACCGACACAGGUAGUCGAGGCGAGUAGCCUAAGGUGAGCGAGAGAACUCUCGUUAAGGAACUCGGCAAAAUGACCCCGUAACUUCGGGAGAAGGGGUGCUGCACAAUGUGCAGCCGCAGUGAAUAGGCCCAGGCGACUGUUUAUCAAAAACACAGGUUUCUGCAAAAUCGUAAGAUGAAGUAUAGGGGCUGACGCCUGCCCGGUGCUGGAAGGUUAAGAGGAUGGGUUAGCGUAAGCGAAGCUCAGAAUUGAAGCCCCAGUAAACGGCGGCCGUAACUAUAACGGUCCUAAGGUAGCGAAAUUCCUUGUCGGGUA